rnacentral:rRNA from 1 species
UACGAAGGGUGCUAGCGUUGUUCGGAAUUACUGGGCGUAAAGCGUACGUAGGCGGCUUGGUAAGUCGAUUGUGAAAGCCCCGGGCUCAACUCGGGAACUGCAAUCGAUACUGCUUUGCUGGAGUUUGGUGGGGGAUGGUAGAAUUUCUAGUGUAGGGGUGAAAUCCGUAGAUAUUAGAAGGAAUAUCAGUGGCGAAGGCGGCCAUCUACACCAAUACUGACGCUAAGGUACGAAAGCGUGGGGAGCAAACAGGAUUAGAACUCGU